rnacentral:tRNA from 1 species
GGAGAGGUUCCCGAGCGGCCAAAGGGAACAGACUGUAAAUCUGUCGUCAGCAGACUUCGGAGGUUCGAAUCCUCCCCUCUCCACCA